GCAAAGUGUCUACGGGUUAAAAGUAAGGGGCUGCAUAGUGUUUAUUCCAAAACUAUUAGGUGCAAUGUGCAACAUGCUGAAAUCAAAGGGGUGCCAAAUGCAAUUAACUCUAAAAAGAAUAACAUAGUGUUAAUAAUCAAAUCCGAACCUAACGUUAGUGACAAAAAAAAAAUCCGAACCUAACAUUAGUGGCAAAAAAGAAAAAAAUUAUAGUUCAGUGGUAGGUUUCUAAACAAAUAAUAAGUUAGGUGG
rnacentral:lncRNA from 1 species